rnacentral:sRNA from 1 species
UUGCCAGCUGGGUGUCUCAAGUAAAACCUAUCAAACCAAAAGGAAACGCAAAAUGCCCCUCCCUCGUUCCAAAUCUCUUUUUUCUUAUUAUUGAAAGGAAAUUUUACUCAAUAAAAUUAAUAAACAACAUAGAUAACAACAAUACUCAUUCAAAUAAGUUCGACAAAAAAACAAGAUAAUCUAUCCUUUACUAAUCUAAAACACUUCAUUUGGUUGAAUGAUUGUGGUUAUUAGUGAUUUUCAUAUCACUACCCAGGGUAUAAUUUUGAUAAUUUUGAACUCCCACACAGCAAACACAAAUUCAAUUUUGAAUUUGUUCUUGAUCUUGAGAGAUAGUAUUAGCCUUAAUUAGGGAAUCGAUUUGUGUUUAAUGUGUGGGAGUUCCUUUCCAAAAGUGAAAAUCGAAUUUGUGUCUCUCAUGUUGAAUUUUCAUUUGCUAUGUGUUCGAGUUUAUCUCUCAAUGAAAGGUUGUGUAUUUGCUUUUAAAAUAUCUCGUCUCACUCAUGUGAACAAAUUUUAAUUAACUGUUCAACCCGGAAAAACUGGAAAUGCUGGAUUAGUGAUGAAUAAUAGCAUUUGGGAAUUUUGUUCCAAAGCUCUAUUUCACAAGCUGUCGUAGUUCUGUCGGAUGUGGAAUCUUGCCUCCAUUGUUUGCCUUUCCAUAAGCUAUGUGUGGUUUUUGAAUUGGGUGUUACUUUAUUGAGAAGAAUGGCUAUUGCUCUUUGCAUAACUGUCCCAUUUGCAGUGGAAGCAUGGUGAUUAACUUACGCAUUUGGUUGUUCGGCAUAUAGUUUUAAAGUCUUCAAUAGUUCAUUUGUUUGUCUGCUUCUAUUUGUGUGGUUGGUGAUGCUUUUUAAUACCAGAACAAGGCUGGAAAUCCAAGCUGAUGCAGCAUGUGUGGAUCUGGCCCAUAGUUGAAUAGCUUUGACGGCAACAUAAGACCCAAGAGGAAAGAGGGAGAGAAAUGGCGACGGCCAAAACGGGACGGUCCACGCGAGCGUCGGCGGGAGAUGCGAAAGAAAACGGCACGAAAAUCGAGGAAGGCCUGAAUGUUUUCAAAUCCGAUAAGUCUGACGCCGAUGCUUUUGUUCAGUCCAAGUGUUCUCUCAACGACAAGGAAAUAAGGCAAUUAUGUUCUUAUCUAUUGGAUUUGAAGAGAGCUUCUGCUGAAGAAAUGCGUAAAAGUGUAUAUGCUAAUUGUUCCGCGUUUAUGCGAGAAUUUUGCAUUCCAUUGCCUUGCUGCCUGCUUCAAACCAUACAGAGAUUUAUGUAAUUUGCAAACCAGUCUUGACUUUGCAGUGUACUCCCCCUUGACAGAAUACCCCUCAGAACUGAAUGUUUCCUGGUAAUCAAAUCCUGCUACCUGAUUGUAUCCUUCAGCAACCAGGCGUGCUUUGAAUCUUUCCACUUCACCAUUUGCUUUCAGUUUCACCUUAUAUACCCACCUGCAACCAAUGCUAUGACAAUUUGAAGGUAGAGGUACAACAGUCCAUGUAUCAUUAUCCUCCAAAGCAUGCAAUUCAAGAGCCGUGGCCUCUCUCUAGUGGGAAUCAUUCACAGCCUGAUGAUAAGAAACAGGUUCUUGUAUAUGUGACAAUGAAGUGGUAAAGGACUUGUGUGAAGGAGAAAGUUUUUGAGGUGACAGGAAUUUGGCAAUUGGAUAGGAGGCACAGAAAGUGUUUUCAUUAGUAGCUAGUUCAGGCUGAUUUGUGCUGUCUGCAAUGGGCAGACUGCUUGAAGGUGAUGAAUCAGGGUUAUGGUCAAAAUGAUCAAGAUAUAUGUCAUGCACAGCAGGUGUUUGAUGAAAAGUUAAUGGCUGCUGAUCAUGCUGUUUAAUUCGAAAUGGAAAUGUUUGUUCGUGAAAAAUCACAUUUCUUGAUUUUAGGACGUUGUUAGCACUAAGAUCAUAAACCUUAUAACCCUUCAUGUUAUUUGGAUACCCUAGGAAUAUGCAUUUAGUGGCCCUUUUAUCUAGUUUCUUCCUAUUUUGUGUUAAUGUGAACAUAAAGCACAAACAUCCAAAUACUCUCAAAUGAUCAUACGAAGGCAAUUUGUGAUGGAGGAGC